GACGAACGCUGGCGGCGUGCUUAACACAUGCAAGUCGAACGGAAAGGCCUCUUUCGGGGGGUACUCGAGUGGCGAACGGGUGAGUAACACGUGAGUAACCUGCCCUUGACUUUGGGAUAACUUCAGGAAACUGGGGCUAAUACCGGAUAGGAGCUCCUGCUGCAUGGUGGGGGUUGGAAAGUUUCGGCGGUUGGGGAUGGACUCGCGGCUUAUCAGCUUGUUGGUGGGGUAGUGGCUUACCAAGGCUUUGACGGGUAGCCGGCCUGAGAGGGCGACCGGCCACAUUGGGACUGAGAUACGGCCCAGACUCCUACGGGAGGCAGCAGUGGGGAAUAUUGCACAAUGGGUGGAAGCCUGAUGCAGCAACGCCGUGUGCGGGAUGACGGCCUUCGGGUUGUAAACCGCUUUCGCUCAUGACGAAGCUUUGUGUGACGGUAGUGGGUAAAGAAGCACCGGCUAACUACGU
rnacentral:rRNA from 1 species